AUUAAACUUCCAAAAGAAUGGGACAAAGAAUUGAUAUGGGUAAUAACACUACUGUUGAGGAACUCAAAAAGUGAUUUAUAGGUGUAAACACCCAAAGGCUCUAGGCUCAAGAUGAAGACUAGGUGUACAAAUACAACAGAGGCCAUUAUGUGAGGAAAUCAGGAGGUCACCUCUACCAAAACUCCAAAGAAAUCAUAACCAUGCUCCUUUUGGAAAUUGAAAGGGAAAUAAGUAAUUCAGAGAUACAAAUCAAAUAAUAAGGCAAGUAAAGGAUUUACUCCACAUGAAAUUCUAAAUAUAGGUUCACUUCCUUAGCAAAACCUUCAAUUACAAGUAUGCUAUGAGACAUGGAUAAAACUAGGGAGAGGCCCCAUCAAAUUUUUGCCUAUAAGAAACUGUAUUACUUAAAACUACCGGUUAAUUUUUCUUUUUAAAGAAAAGAAUAAAGUAUUAAAGAGCACCAAUGGGGUGGAAGCUCAUAUAGGAAAUAGUUACAAAUAUGAUAACAUCAGUCAAAUCCCUAAAUACUCAUAGGUGCAUAAAGGAUGAUUCUUAAUUAAAGAAAAAAAAAAACCUAGGAUUUGGAACCAAGUAUCUUUGAUUAUAUAAAAAGACAAGUCUAUACCCUGAAAACUAAUAUUUCUUUCUUUCUAAAUUACCCACAAUGUAGUCAAAGGAAUAAUAUUCAAGUGCCUAUUGUAGCUUAACCCAUGGAUGCCUCUCCAAGCCCAUAUAUCCUCUUUGAUUGAGCCAGCCACUAGCCACUUCACCCCCAACAAACUAUAAACCAAUGACCAAUGCUGAUAGAGAGAAAGAGGGGGAAAAAAAAGAAACCAUAGGAGGAGAUGUUUGACAAACUCUACAGUUCUAUUACAUAGAUAGUAGCCACUCAUGACGACCUUUCCCCUUUUAAAAACCCACCACCUAAUCUAAAGGACCUUCUAAUAGACAUCUAAAAUAUUACUUUUCUAUAAGCAAAUCUAGGAAGGCAAUUAUUGGAAGCCUUCUUAUUACAUAGCAUUAGUGUCAAGCAUACCACUCAUUACCGAUCAUAUAAAAGUAUGGAGUCAACAAUGGCAUCAUCAUACCAAGGCCUCAACACCACCAGCUGCUGCAAUUGCUUCCCGAUUUCUGUCAUCAAAUGAUAAAUUCCACAAUGCACCAGCUGCUUCUUGCCUGUUUCACAAGUAGACAAAACGGUAGUAUCAAAAGAGGAAAAAAAACCAAAAAAACAAUUGUUACAGGAAGAAGUUGAUGAAAGAAACAAGUUAAAUUGGAAAAUCUGAGCAUUGUGAAUAUUAUGCAAACAUUAUUAUGAAUUCGACAUUGUGCCUCAAAACAGAUUUCUUCAUCACUCACCCUACACUGUUAAUUCUUAAAGAAAGAUAUCAUAAAAAACGAAAAUGAAAAACUAAAUCCAAG
rnacentral:lncRNA from 1 species